rnacentral:tRNA from 1 species
GUCAGGAUGGCCGAGUGGUCUAAGGCGCCAGACUCAAGGAUGCAGUCCUUUCUCACUCAUGGGAUUUCUGGUCUCCAAAUGGAGGCGUGGGUUCAAAUCCCGCUCCUGACA